ACAAUGAAACACCGGGCUCUGUACGAUCAUUGAAGUUAAGCAAAGUCAAGCCUGGUCAGUACCUAUAUGGGUGACCGUUUGGGAAUACUCGCUGCUGUAAG